UGAAGUGUAACUCAGUGGUAUAGUUCUUGCCUACAAUGAGUGAGGCCCUGAGUUCAAUCCUCAGCAUCCUGCAA
rnacentral:tRNA from 1 species